UGAAGGUCGACCAAUUAUUUGGAGAUUAAAGCUAUAGAAAUAAUCAUUUUCUGCCUAAUUUCAUCUUUGCUGCAGUUUUCCUUUAAAUAUGGCACAAGGUCACACAAUCAUCUUAAAAGUGUUAAUUGUAUGGAAAUCCCAAACUAUUCCAACCAUUGUUAUUUGUAUAGUUUCUUUUGAGCCUUCCCUUUGGUACUCUCAACUUUGGUGCCAUUGUAUUUAUUAGUAGCAUAGAUUAUUGUUUUUCAUUAGGACUGUAUCCAUCCGAUGGGUGUGUUACUUGGAAGUCUGGGGAGGAGGGUUGGGGAAAGUGGGGGGGGAGGUGGUGGGGGGUGGGAAAGCAUGGACGUUAGAUCCUUGAUACUGGCUGAGUUUGCAAUAGCAGGUGGAACCUUAACUAUUGAGGGAGUUUGCAGAUACCUCAGGAUUCGUGACAAUGCCUUUAAAGAUCCAGGAGAUGUUCAGCUACUAGGAACUGCUAGCAAGUAUAGCGCGAAUGGCUCCGAGCUCAGACACUCUGCAGCUGAGAGUAGACACUUAUGGGGAGGAAUCUGCUACAAGCUUAUCAGCUGUUAAUUUUCUUUUAAACUUCCAAGUUCAUAGCUAAAAGGGGACAUCCUUGUGAGGACAACCUUUGUCUGAGCCACUACUUCAUUCUCACUGCCAUGCAGUUGGUUUUAGCUGUUCUGCAGCUCUGAUUAAUCAUUCAAUUUUGUGAAUGGAUUUUUAAAUAAACUACUUUAAUUCAGCUUAUUUUCCUUGUCUCCUUUUAUUUAG
rnacentral:lncRNA from 1 species